rnacentral:tRNA from 1 species
GGCGGGGUAGCUCAGUUGGUAGAGCACGCGACUGAAAAUCGUGUGCCCUUUCG